GAAAUGCGAUACGUAGUGUGAAUUGCAGAAUUCCGUGAACCAUCAAAUCUUUGAACGCAAAUUGCGCUCGAGGCUUCGGCCAAGAGCAUGUCUGCCUCAGCGUCGAUUGACCCCCUCGCCUCCCACCCUUUGGGGUGUGUUGACAGAGUCAUCUGUUGACUUGGAGACGGACCUGAUCGUCCCAGGCUUCGCGCCUGGGUCGGUUGAAGCACAGAGGCUUGAGCUGGGACCCGUCACGGGCAAUGGCUGGAUAGGUAGUAUCGGCUUCGGCUGUCUACACGAAGCUGUUGCUUGGAGCCCAGCUGGGAGCCCACAAGCAGGAAACCCAAAUUUCCGACCUGAGCUCAGGCAAGAUUACCCGCUGAACUUAA
rnacentral:misc_RNA from 1 species